GGACCCCCAGGCAAGGGGGACUACCCGCUGAAUUUAARCCUAUYAAUAAACGGAAGAAAAAAAACUUACCAGGGUUCCCCUAAUAACCGCGAACGAACCCGGAACCGCCCAACUUGGAAAUUGGGCGGGUUUGCCCUCUGAAUUGGAAUCYGGRAAAACCUCAA
rnacentral:rRNA from 1 species